rnacentral:rRNA from 1 species
GAUGAACGCUGGCGGCGUGCCUAAUACAUGCAAGUCGAGCGAACGGACGAGAAGCUUGCUUCUCUGAUGUUAGCGGCGGACGGGUGAGUAACACGUGGAUAACCUACCUAUAAGACUGGGAUAACUUCGGGAAACCGUAGCUAAUACCGGAUAAUAUUUUGAACCGCAUGGUUCAAAAGUGAAAGACGGUCUUGCUGUCACUUAUAGAUGGAUCCGGGCUGCAUUAGCUAGUUGGUAAGGUAACGGCUUACCAAGGCAACGAUGCAUAGCCGACCUGAGAGGGUGGUCGGCCACACGGGAACUGGGACACGGUCCAGACUCCUACGGGAGGCAGCAGUAGGGAAUCUUCCGCAAUGGGCGAAAGCCUGACGGAGCAACGCCGCGUGAGUGAUGAAGGUCUUCGGAUCGUAAAACUCUGUUAUUAGGGAAGAACAUAUGUGUAAGUAACUGUGCACAUCUUGACGGUACCUAAUCAGAAAGCCACGGCUAACUACGUG